rnacentral:rRNA from 1 species
UACGUAGGUCCCGAGCGUUGUCCGGAUUUAUUGGGCGUAAAGCGAGCACAGGUGGUUUAUUAAGUCUGGUGUAAAAGGCAGUGGCUCAACCAUUGUAUGCAUUGGAAACUGGUAGACUUGAGUGCAGGAGAGGAGAGUGGAAUUCCAUGUGUAGCGGUGAAAUGCGUAGAUAUAUGGAGGAACACCGGUGGCGAAAGCGGCUCUCUGGCCUGUAACUGACAUUGAGGCUCGAAAGCGUGGGGAGCAAACAGG